AUUGAACGCUGGCGGCGUGCCUAACACAUGCAAGUCGAGCGGUAACAGGUGUAGCAAUACAUGCUGACGAGCGGCGGACGGGUGAGUAACGCUUGGGAAUCUGCCUAUUAGUGGGGGACAACCCGGGGAAACUCGGGCUAAUACCGCAUACGCUCUACGGAGGAAAGCCGGGGACCGCAAGGCCUGGUGCUAAUAGAUGAGCCCAAGUCGGAUUAGCUAGUUGGUAGGGUAAUGGCCUACCAAGGCGACGAUCCGUAACUGGUCUGAGAGGACGACCAGUCACACCGGAACUGAGACACGGUCCGGGACUCCUACGGGAGGCAGCAGUGGGGAAUAUUGGACAAUGGCGAAAGCCUGAUCCAGCGACGCCGCGUGGGUGAAGAAGGCCUGCGGGUUGUAAAGCCCUUUCAGUGGGG
rnacentral:rRNA from 1 species